rnacentral:rRNA from 1 species
GACGAACGCUGGCGGCGUGCCUAACACAUGCAAGUCGAACGGAACUGUUUUGAAAGAUUUCUUCGGAAUGAAUUUGAUUUAGUUUAGUGGCGGACGGGUGAGUAACGCGUGAGUAACCUGCCUUCAAGAGGGGAAUAACAUUCUGAAAAGAAUGCUAAUACCGCAUGACAUAUCGGAACCACAUGGUUUUGAUAUCAAAGAUCUUAUCGCUUGAAGAUGGACUCGCGUCCGAUUAGUUAGUUGGUGAGGUAACGGCUCACCAAGACCGCGAUCGGUAGCCGGACUGAGAGGUUGAACGGCCACAUUGGGACUGAGACACGGCCCAGACUCCUACGGGAGGCAGCAGUGGGGGAUAUUGCGCAAUGGGGGCAACCCUGACGCAGCAACGCCGCGUGAAGGAUGAAGGUUUUCGGAUUGUAAACUUCUUUUAUUAAGGACGAAAAAUGACGGUACUUAAUGAAUAAGCUCCGGCUAACUACGUG